AGCACUGGCGGCGUGCUAUACAUGCAAGUUGAACGCAACAAAGACACCAGGGCUUGCUCUACCGUCUUUGUUGAGUAGCGAACGGGUGAGUAACGCGUGGGUAACCUGCCUUAUAGCGGGGGAUAACUAUUGGAAACGAUAGCUAAUACCGCAUAACAAUAGAGAUUGCAUAAUCUUUAUUUGAAAGUACCAACUGGUACGCUAUGAGAUGGACCCGCGUUGUAUUAGCUAGUUGGUAGUGUAAUGGACUACCAAGGCGAUGAUACAUAGCCGACCUGAGAGGGUGAUCGGCCACAUUGGGACUGAGACACGGCCCAAACUCCUACGGGAGGCAGCAGUAGGGAAUCUUCGGCAAUGGACGAAAGUCUGACCGAGCAACGCCGCGUGAGUGAAGAAGGUUUUCGGAUCGUAAAACUCUGUUGUUAGAGAAGAAUGUUGAUUAGAGUGGAAAAUUAAUCAAGUGACGGUAUCUAACCAGAAAGGGACGGCUAACUACGUGCCAGCAGCCGCGGUAAUACGUAGGUCCCGAGCGUUGUCCGGAUUUAUUGGGCGUAAAGCGAGCGCAGGUGGUUUAAUAAGUCUGAUGUAAAAGGCAGUGGCUCAACCAUUGUGUGCAUUGGAAACUGUUAGACUUGAGUGCAGUAGAGGAGAGUGGAAUUCCAUGUGUAGCGGUGAAAUGCGUAGAUAUAUGGAGGAACACCGGUGGCGAAAGCGGCUCUCUGGACUGUCACUGACACUGAGGCUCGAAAGCGUGGGUAGCAAACAGGAUUAGAUACCCUGGUAGUCCACGCCGUAAACGAUGAGUGCUAGUUGUUUGGGGCUAUCCAGCCCUAAGUGACGCAGCAAACGCAUUAAGCACUCCGCCUGGGGAGUACGACCGCAAGGUUGAAACUCAAAGGAAUUGACGGGGGCCCGCACAAGCGGUGGAGCAUGUGGUUUAAUUCGAAGCAACGCGAAGAACCUUACCAGGUCUUGACAUACUCGUGCUAUUCCUAGAGAUAGGAAGUUCCUUCGGGACACGGGGUACAGGUGGGUGCAUGGGUUGUCGUCAGCUCGUGUCGUGGAGAUGUUGGGUUAAGUCCCGCAACGAGCGGCAACCCUUAUUGUUAGUUGCCAUCAUAAAGUGGGGCACUCUAGCGAGACUGCGGUAAUAAACCGGAAGGAAGGUGGGGGAUGACGUCAAUCAUCAUUGC
rnacentral:rRNA from 1 species